GAACUCAGUCCAAGAGCCUCUCUGAGACCUCUUCUCCCUUCUCUGUCAGCAGAGGAAAAGAGGGUGGAGGGGCUGCUGCCCCAGGAAGGCUGGGCCCACCCCUCCUCACAGGCACCCUGCUGCCUGUUCAGCUUGGCUCUCUGGGUGACAGGCAGAAGCCCCGGUUGCUUCUCUUCUCCACGGUGAUUUCUGCAUACUUUAUCCGAACCCCCUCCCCACCGCUGUCCAGUUUCUGGCUCCUCUUCCUGCCCGUGCUCUGAGGCCAGCUGGGGUCCCCCCAGGUGACUCCUGCUGUUGCUGUCACUGGACCCUGACGCUGUGCCGCACCCGAAUUCCUCCGAAUGGAGCCUUGGCCAGAGCAAGGCGUGCCGUGUAGAGGAGCGGAUCUGAGCCUGGCAGGAGAUUGCUAAAACCUUUGCCCUUCACACAAACGCGGAAACACGGGGUGGGUGCUGAAGAGCCAAGCAAGUGUCCCCCAUUUCCUUCCAAGGCAGAGCAGCAGCCCAGGGAGGCCCAGUUUCCAUCGCGGCUCCAGGUGAAGGGCAGAAGAGUGGGGGAGGUCCCAGGACCGCAGCCCAGGGGACACUCAGGAUGUGCUGGGAAGGACAUGGCAGACAGGCCCUUUAGGUGGAAAAGCAACCCUCAGCUGCCCAGAGAGCGGCCCCUCCAGGCCCUCUCCGCCGUUUGCAAAGCUCUUCAGCUGGGAGAGGAGGAAAGGGUUUGUUCUUGACCUCCUUCCUUUCCUUUCCUUCUGCACUGUCCACGGGUGAGCAGGAAGACAGGCUGAUGCUCUUGUUGCAAAUGAAGGUAUAAUUCACAUGCCAUAAAAUUCACCAUUUUAACCA
rnacentral:lncRNA from 1 species